AUACGGAGGACGCGAGCGUUAUCCGGAUUCAUUGGGUUUAAAGGGUGCGCAGGCGGCCGUGCAAGUCAGCGGUGAAAGCCCGGGGCUCAACCCCGGAAGUGCCGUUGAUACUGCAUGGCUGGAAUGCGGUCGAGGCGGGCGGGACGGGGGGUGGAGGGGGGAAAGGCGAAGAUAGGCCACAGAACGCCGAUAGCGGAGGCAGCUCGCCAGGCCUGCAUUGACGCUCGGGCACGAAAGCGUGGGGAUCGAACAGGAUUAGAUACCCUGGUAGUCCACGCCGUAAACGAUGGGCGCUCGUCGUCGGCGGCAGACAGUCGGCGGCCAAGCGAAAGAGAUAAGCGCCCCACCUGGGGAGUACGGUCGCAAGGCUGAAACUCAAAUGAAUUGACGGG
rnacentral:rRNA from 1 species